rnacentral:lncRNA from 1 species
CACCAAUGCCAUCACACCAGUUAUUUUGUUUGACUGAAGAGUUUUAAACCUCAUUUUGCCAAUAUUAUUACACUGUGGGUUCUGGUUUAAGAUUGAAAUAUGAGAAUCAGAGAUUCCAAUCUUUGGAAACACAGUUCCCGUCUUUUCUGUUGAAUAUCUGGAGUUCUGUACUUGGAGUACAACUUACCAUAUACACAAUGCUUUUAUUAUUAUUAUUAUUAUUAUUAUUAUUAUUAUUGAGGUGGAGUCUUGCUCUGUCACCAAGGCUGGAGUGCAGUGGCGUGAUCUUGGCUCACUGCAACUUCCGCCGCCCGGGUUCAAACAAUUCUCCUGUCUCAGCCUCCUGAGUAGCUGGGACUACAGGCACAUGCCACCACUCCUGGCUAAUUUUUUUUUGUAUUUUUAGUAGAGACGGGGUUUCACCAUAUUGGUCAGGCUGGUUUCGAACUCCUGACCUGAGGUGAUCCACCCACCUCGGCCUCCCAAAGUGCUGGGAUUACAGGCGUAAGCCACCACACCCAGCCUAUUUUUUAACCUACAUUUUUUUCUUUUUUAGAAACAGGGUCUCACUGUGUUGCCCAGGCUGGUCUCAAACUCCUGGGCUCAAGCAAUCCUCCUGCCUCAGUCUUCCAAAGAGUUGGGAUUCUGGGCGUGAG